GGUUAAGCGACUAAGCGUACACGGUGGAUGCCCUGGCAGUCAGAGGCGAUGAAGGACGUGCUAAUCUGCGAUAAGCGUCGGUAAGGUGAUAUGAACCGUUAUAACCGGCGAUUUCCGAAUGGGGAAACCCAGUGUGUUUCGACACACUAUCAUUAACUGAAUCCAUAGGUUAAUGAGGCGAACCGGGGGAACUGAAACAUCUAAGUACCCCGAGGAAAAGAAAUCAACCGAGAUUCCCCCAGUAGCGGCGAGCGAACGGGGAGGAGCCCAGAGCCUGAAUCAGUGUGUGUGUUAGUGGAAGCGUCUGGAAAGGCGCGCGAUACAGGGUGACAGCCCCGUACACAAAAAUGCACAUGCUGUGAGCUCGAUGAGUAGGGCGGGACACGUGGUAUCCUGUCUGAAUAUGGGGGGACCAUCCUCCAAGGCUAAAUACUCCUGACUGACCGAUAGUGAACCAGUACCGUGAGGGAAAGGCGAAAAGAACCCCGGCGAGGGGAGUGAAAAAGAACCUGAAACCGUGUACGUACAAGCAGUGGGAGCACGCUUAGGCGUGUGACUGCGUACCUUUUGUAUAAUGGGUCAGCGACUUAUAUUCUGUAGCAAGGUUAACCGAAUAGGGGAGCCGAAGGGAAACCGAGUCUUAACUGGGCGUUAAGUUGCAGGGUAUAGACCCGAAACCCGGUGAUCUAGCCAUGGGCAGGUUGAAGGUUGGGUAACACUAACUGGAGGACCGAACCGACUAAUGUUGAAAAAUUAGCGGAUGACUUGUGGCUGGGGGUGAAAGGCCAAUCAAACCGGGAGAUAGCUGGUUCUCCCCGAAAGCUAUUUAGGUAGCGCCUCGUGAAUUCAUCUCCGGGGGUAGAGCACUGUUUCGGCAAGGGGGUCAUCCCGACUUACCAACCCGAUGCAAACUGCGAAUACCGGAGAAUGUUAUCACGGGAGACACACGGCGGGUGCUAACGUCCGUCGUGAAGAGGGAAACAACCCAGACCGCCAGCUAAGGUCCCAAAGUCAUGGUUAAGUGGGAAACGAUGUGGGAAGGCCCAGACAGCCAGGAUGUUGGCUUAGAAGCAGCCAUCAUUUAAAGAAAGCGUAAUAGCUCACUGGUCGAGUCGGCCUGCGCGGAAGAUGUAACGGGGCUAAACCAUGCACCGAAGCUGCGGCAGCGACGCUUAUGCGUUGUUGGGUAGGGGAGCGUUCUGUAAGCCUGUGAAGGUGUACUGUGAGGUAUGCUGGAGGUAUCAGAAGUGCGAAUGCUGACAUAAGUAACGAUAAAGCGGGUGAAAAGCCCGCUCGCCGGAAGACCAAGGGUUCCUGUCCAACGUUAAUCGGGGCAGGGUGAGUCGACCCCUAAGGCGAGGCCGAAAGGCGUAGUCGAUGGGAAACAGGUUAAUAUUCCUGUACUUGGUGUUACUGCGAAGGGGGGACGGAGAAGGCUAUGUUGGCCGGGCGACGGUUGUCCCGGUUUAAGCGUGUAGGCUGGUUUUCCAGGCAAAUCCGGAAAAUCAAGGCUGAGGCGUGAUGACGAGGCACUACGGUGCUGAAGCAACAAAUGCCCUGCUUCCAGGAAAAGCCUCUAAGCAUCAGGUAACAUCAAAUCGUACCCCAAACCGACACAGGUGGUCAGGUAGAGAAUACCAAGGCGCUUGAGAGAACUCGGGUGAAGGAACUAGGCAAAAUGGUGCCGUAACUUCGGGAGAAGGCACGCUGAUAUGUAGGUGAAGUCCCUCGCGGAUGGAGCUGAAAUCAGUCGAAGAUACCAGCUGGCUGCAACUGUUUAUUAAAAACACAGCACUGUGCAAACACGAAAGUGGACGUAUACGGUGUGACGCCUGCCCGGUGCCGGAAGGUUAAUUGAUGGGGUCAGCGCAAGCGAAGCUCUUGAUCGAAGCCCCGGUAAACGGCGGCCGUAACUAUAACGGUCCUAAGGUAGCGAAAUUCCUUGUCGGGUAAGUUCCGACCUGCACGAAUGGCGUAAUGAUGGCCAGGCUGUCUCCACCCGAGACUCAGUGAAAUUGAACUCGCUGUGAAGAUGCAGUGUACCCGCGGCAAGACGGAAAGACCCCGUGAACCUUUACUAUAGCUUGACACUGAACAUUGAGCCUUGAUGUGUAGGAUAGGUGGGAGGCUUAGAAGUGUGGACGCCAGUCUGCAUGGAGCCGACCUUGAAAUACCACCCUUUAAUGUUUGAUGUUCUAACGUUGACCCGUAAUCCGGGUUGCGGACAGUGUCUGGUGGGUAGUUUGACUGGGGCGGUCUCCUCCUAAAGAGUAACGGAGGAGCACGAAGGUUGGCUAAUCCUGGUCGGACAUCAGGAGGUUAGUGCAAUGGCAUAAGCCAGCUUGACUGCGAGCGUGACGGCGCGAGCAGGUGCGAAAGCAGGUCAUAGUGAUCCGGUGGUUCUGAAUGGAAGGGCCAUCGCUCAACGGAUAAAAGGUACUCCGGGGAUAACAGGCUGAUACCGCCCAAGAGUUCAUAUCGACGGCGGUGUUUGGCACCUCGAUGUCGGCUCAUCACAUCCUGGGGCUGAAGUAGGUCCCAAGGGUAUGGCUGUUCGCCAUUUAAAGUGGUACGCGAGCUGGGUUUAGAACGUCGUGAGACAGUUCGGUCCCUAUCUGCCGUGGGCGCUGGAGAACUGAGGGGGGCUGCUCCUAGUACGAGAGGACCGGAGUGGACGCAUCACUGGUGUUCGGGUUGUCAUGCCAAUGGCACUGCCCGGUAGCUAAAUGCGGAAGAGAUAAGUGCUGAAAGCAUCUAAGCACGAAACUUGCCCCGAGAUGAGUUCUCCCUGACUCCUUGAGAGUCCUGAAGGAACGUUGAAGACGACGACGUUGAUAGGCCGGGUGUGUAAGCGCAGCGAUGCGUUGAGCUAACCGGUACUAAUGAACCGUGAGGCUUAACCUU
rnacentral:rRNA from 1 species